CGACGUGAGGGAACCUGCCUUUCAGAGGGGGACAACAGUUGGAAACGACUGCUAAUACCGCAUAAUAUAUUGUUGUCGCAUGGCAAUGAUAUCAAAGAUUUAUCGCUGAAAGAUGGCCUCGCGUCUGAUUAGCUAGUUGGUAGGGUAACGGCCUACCAAGGCGACGAUCAGUAGCCGGACUGAGAGGUUGGCCGGCCACAUUGGGACUGAGAUACGGCCCAGACUCCUACGGAAGGCAGCAG
rnacentral:rRNA from 1 species